GGCCCAAUGGUCUAGUAGUAUGAUUCGCGCUUCGGGUGCUCCCGGGUUGAAAAACCUCAAACUGCGCGAGGUCCCGGGUUCAAUUCCCGGUUGGGCCC